CCUACGGGGGGCAGCAGUAGGGAAUCUUCCACAAUGGGCGAAAGCCUGACGGAGCAACGCCGCGUGGGUGAAGAAGGUCUUCGGAUCGUAAAACUCUGUUGUUAGAGAAGAAAGUGCGUGAGAGUAACUGUUCACGUUUCGACGGUAUCUAACUAGAAACCAACGGCUAACUACGUGCCAGCAGCCGCGGUAAUACGUAGGUGGCAAGCGUUAUCCGGAUUUAUUGGGCGUAAAGUGAGUGUUGGCGGACUUUUAAGUUUGCUGUGAAAGCCGUCGGCUUAACCGGAGUAGUGCAUUGGAAACUGGGAGACUUGAGUGCAGAAGAGGAGAGUGGAACUCCAUGUGUAGCGGUGAAAUGCGUAGAUAUAUGGAAGAACACCAGUGGCGAAGGCGGCUCUCUGGUCUGUAACUGACGCUGAGGUUCGAAAGCGUGGGUAGCAAACAGGAUUAGAUACCCGAGUAGUC
rnacentral:rRNA from 1 species